UGCACUCUAGCCUGGGGGACAGAGCAAGACUCCGUCUCAGGCAAAAAAAGAAAAAAAACCUACUUGGAGAUUAGGGAAGUCAGCAGGUCACUCACAUUUAUGCUGGGCAACACAAUGACAGUAUCAUAUAAACAUAAGCAGCUGACAGUAGACUUAUUUUUUCUUAUGUCUUUUUACCCUGCUGCAGUGGUUCGCAAUCUUUUUGGCACCAGGGACUGCUUUCAUGGAAGACCAUUUUUCCACAGACCUGGGGUGGUAUGGGCAUAGUUUCAGGAUGAAACUGUUCCACCUCAGAUCAUCAGGCAUUAGCUAGAGUCUCAUAAUCUGCAUGCACCCUAGAUCCCUUGUAUGCGCAGUUCAUAAUAGAGUUCACGCUCCUUGAAAAUUUAAUACUGCCACUGAUCUGACAGGAGGUGGAGCUUAGGCUGUAAUGCUCACUCGCCCACCACUCAACUCCCGCUGUGUGGCCAGGUCCCUAACAAGUGGCAGACGGUACUGUCCACAGCCCAGGGGUUGUGGACCCCUACCGCAACAGACAGUAAAAAUAAGAAAAUACUCAACCAUAUUGUAGUUUGUUUACCUUGUAAAAUCAUUUCCAAAAUAUAAGAAUGUAAUUUGAGAAGCAAUGUAGAAUCUUAGUGCUGAAAAGUGCAAAGACAUAAGAAUGAAUGACAGUUGGUAGUUAAUUUGCUGAUACCAUACUGUGGAGAAAUUCACAUUUUACUAAAAAGACAUAAAAGCCUUUGCAGAGAUAGGUUUUGAUAAUCUUGUACUUUACAGUCUAAAAUUUCCAAGGAAGUAUGUGUGUCUGGUUAGUGUUCCUUUUAUUAGAAUUAGUUACACUUGUUUUUUAUAAUGGUCAUAGUUCAGUCAUAGAAUAUUUGGAUAUAUCACCUUCAGUCGUGUCUCAAACCCAGGAAAUGAAGAAUAUUGUUUCACCAACACUCAGAAGAGAAAGCAAGAGAGAUGUGCCUUCAGCUCUUUUCUAAUCCAUGAGGCCAUGAUAAAUAUCAACCCAGGAGCUGUGAUUUGUUUUCACUAGGCAAAGAGCAAUGAUGUCGAUCGUUUCAGCGAUACAAUUUGAAGUAACACGUAAAGUGAACUUGAGCCCUUAUGGCCACAUGGGCAGCUUUGACAUCAGUCACAGCAAAUCAGACUAGUCUCCCUGAAGCUGAUCUUCAGUCAGGACAUCUUAUCUCCACAGGACUCAUAUUCCUCUUGGCCUCCGUGUCCUCAAGGAUGUCACCCUUACAACAUCAGUCAUCCUCAGACUGCCCUUCAUUCCUGGCUGUGCUUUCCUUGAUCAGAGAGAAAAGAUGAUAAGGUCUGCAGCAGCUGCUGGGGAUGGGGAAGGAGGUAAGCUUUAAUUAAGAAGUCCCUCCAGAGAGCCGACAAGGACAGUGUUUCUGGGGAGAGCCAAUCCAAGGAACCAUACUGCACAUGAAAAGAAUCUUAAGCCUGGGGAGGGAGUCCAGAUGGCCGAAUAGACACAACUCCCAGCACACAACACCCAGGGAGAGAGAUGCAGAAAUCGAGAGAUCUCCUAGUUCCAAGGAACCAGGUGCAUUUCAACAGGUCUGGUCGGACAGUAAGCAAAGCCCAGGCAGGGCAGACCAAGGCGGGGAGGGGUGCCACUACACCCAGAAAGUACAACUGACCAGUGAGUCAGAGGCUCCCUCUCUGGCACUCCAGUCCAGAUACAGCACUUCCCCCAAAGCCUCAGCAAUACACAGAACAGGGGAUCUUUGCCAGUCAAGCACCAGGAAUUACAAGCGCAGAGUUGAAUAAUCAGGAUAGUGUCCGGAUUGGCGCACAGAUCUAAGCAAACACAUUAGCCCAUAGGCUAGCCAGCAGAGGCCUGUGGACUGAGCUAGUGCCCCCUCCCCCUGCCCAGAGAGACAGGGAACUGAAACCAGGAAGACAGAUGGUGCUGCUGGGUGGGUCCCUACCCUCCCUGACAAACCCAAGGGCUGAAGCACUAACUCUAGUGGAUUAGGCAGCCAGUUCUUCAGUCUGAGCUGAACCCUGAAUGAUCCAGCCCUGUGGAGGAAAGACACAAGCCACCAUUAAAGGAGUGGGACUAGGUAUCAUGUUUUAACAAAAAACACAGGAAGCCUACAUAGCAGUGGGAUGGUGUUCUUGACCACCUAGCAGCAUCUCCAGGUCAGUGGAACACGCAGACCUAACCUCCCAGUGUAAACAAGACACAGGAAGCUUACCUAGUAACCUGAAGGAGUCCCUAAAAACCCAGUAGUGCCUCGACAGGCAGACAAGCAACCUCAUCAAGCAGCUCCCUGAGAUUACAGCCAGGUAAACCCACAAAGAUGGG